rnacentral:misc_RNA from 1 species
AUGGCACAGCCACAAAUUUUCCUUCGCCUGUAAGAGCCAAAGACAAAUGCUCGCAUUAAAUGACCUAUACUUUCAUCCUGUCCUGUUGGUAGGCUAAUCCACCAGUUACACUUAAGAACCUGAAAGCAAACUAUGGUACAAAAAUUCGCAAAUUGCAGUCAGUAGUGAUAUGCGCCCUGCUGCGCACUAAUGUUUUGGAAGGUAGCCUGGGAAGCAUUGGUGUUGUAGACACCUUGCUUAGCAGUCAGCGAAUAGGGGCUUUGCUGCAUAUUCAUUUUUUGAUAUGGGCUGUGCUGAACAUUCAUGCUUUGAUAGGUGCUCCCCUGAGCACUCACAUUCUGGCAGGAGCUUUGCUGUGCAGUCAUGUUGUUUUGGUAGGAAACUUGUUGGGAAUUCAUGUUCUGUCCAGAACAAGCCACAAAGGUUUGGAGAAAGCUUUGUGCAGCAUUCAGACACUCAGAAGAUCGACGCAAUUCAACAACAUUUUCAGGGCCACCAGUCGGAGGAUCUUGGAGCUUGACCCUUGUUCCAGCAACCUCACCAACAUUUGAAAUCCCCCCAGCCCCUAAAACAGAACUGACUCCAUUAUUUGAAAUACUAGCCUCCAGAGCACUGUUCACAUUAUAGUAUCCAAUAGCAGCCGGAGGAACUGGAUAAUUUCGAGGCUCAUAAUCCUGUCCACCAUCCCUAAGAGGCUUGUAUCCACCAGAACUACUAGCUCCCAUUAUACCAGAAGGUGGGGGCCCUCUACCUGGCAAACUUUGUGUGGGCCGAUAUUCAUGGACAGGUCCCACAGGCCCGGGUUCCACUCCAGCAUUUGCAUCUCGCAAUGUUCUAACUCUUAGUCUUGAUGCAAUCUCUGUCAAAGCAUCCUUGGCAACAGCAAUGUUUCCAGAUAUCUGUACAAGCUCUUCAUCUUCAGAUGCACACUUAGGCUUAUCAUCCUUGGAGUAAACACGAAUAUCUGCCUGGGUUCUCCUUCUCAUUUCAUUGAUAACUUGACCUCCUUGUCCAAGGAUACAGCCAACCUUAAUUGAUGGAACUAGAAGUCUUGUAGUUAUUGUGCUUUUCUCUGAGAAUUCACUUGUUUUAUUCUGAAGCUGAAGAAUUGCAUCAAUUGUUUGUGAUCUUGGGUUCCAC